GACGAACGCUGGCGGCGUGCCUAAUACAUGCAAGUAGAACGCACAGUUUAUACCGUAGCUUGCUACACCAUAGACUGUGAGUUGCGAACGGGUGAGUAACGCGUAGGUAACCUGCCUGGUAGCGGGGGAUAACUAUUGGAAACGAUAGCUAAUACCGCAUAAUAUUAAUUAUUGCAUGAUAAUUAAUUGAAAGGUGCAAUUGCACCACUACCAGAUGGACCUGCGUUGUAUUAGCUAGUAGGUGAGGUAACGGCUCACCUAGGCGGCGAUACAUAGCCGACCUGAGAGGGUGAUCGGCCACACUGGGACUGAGACACGGCCCAGACUCCUACGGGAGGCAGCAGUAGGGAAUCUUCGGCAAUGGACGAAAGUCUGACCGAGCAACGCCACGUGAGUGAAGAAGGUUUUCGGAUCGUAAAGCUCUGUUGUAAGAGAAGAACGGGUGUGAGAGUGGAAAGUUCACACUGUGACGGUAUCUUACCAGAAAGGGACGGCUAACUACGUG
rnacentral:rRNA from 1 species